CCAGACUCCUACGGGAGGCAGCAGUAGGGAAUCUUCGGCAAUGGACGGAAGUCUGACCGAGCAACGCCGCGUGAGUGAAGAAGGUUUUCGGAUCGUAAAGCUCUGUUGUAAGAGAAGAACGAGUGUGAGAGUGGAAAGUUCACACUGUGACGGUAUCUUACCAGAAAGGGACGGCUAACUACGUGCCAGCAGCCGCGGUAAUACGUAGGUCCCGAGCGUUGUCCGGAUUUAUUGGGCGUAAAGCGAGCGCAGGCGGUUAGAUAAGUCUGAAGUUAAAGGCUGUGGCUUAACCAUAGUACGCUUUGGAAACUGUUUAACUUGAGUGCAGAAGGGGAGAGUGGAAUUCCAUGUGUAGCGGUGAAAUGCGUAGAUAUAUGGAGGAACACCGGUGGCGAAAGCGGCUCUCUGGUCUGUAACUGACGCUGAGGCUCGAAAGCGUGGGGAGCGAACAGGAUUAGAUACCCUGGUAGUCCACGCCGUAAACGAUGAGUG
rnacentral:rRNA from 1 species